AAGCAAAAAUAAUAAAAAAAAGAUCAAACCAUAAAUUUUUCUUCAAAUUGCGAUAAAAUUGUUUAGGUACGUGCAUCCGUUACUAUUAUUUGAUUUACUUUCCGACUGUCUGGCCGAUGAAGCUCUGCGCGUGAAUAGAUCAUCGGUAACUCUUAAUGUGAAGAUAUUUUGGAGCACUUUCCGGGAAAGGACUGAGGCGCUGCACAUCUUCUUCCAAUUGGCUUUCAUUAGUCGUGCGAACUCGGCGAAAUCAAGAGAUUUGCAUAAUUGGAAACUGAUGACGUGGCCCGUUCCGGCCGUCUGGCCCUGCGAUUGACAAAUUUCAGCGAGUUUACCAAAUAUUCAACGAACAUUCAUCAAGCGUUCUUUAUUUAUCAUAGUUUUUAGUUUGGAUUUAUAGCAUAGAUACAAAAUUUUAAAUCAUAAAAUUUUACAAGGAAACACUAACAAAACAGGAAUACACAACAACAAAA
rnacentral:sRNA from 1 species